GGGUUCCAGGCCAACCAGGCCAACCAGGAUAUCCUGGGAAACCUGGCAAGCCUCCUUCAGAUGAACAUCUUCUAAAGCUCUGCACAGAUGUUCUGCGUAAUCAACUCCCAGCACUACUCCAGACCCUGGCCCCCC